GAGCUCAGAGGACGAGGCUCCGGGCAGCGGUCCCCGGCGACGGCGUAGAGAUGCGGGGCCCGAGAUGAGGGUGUUGCCGAGCAGGAGACCGCACGCUGCUGGUAGCCAACGCCGCAGCUAGCGGAGCACUGACGCGCACAGUCCCCUGCAGUCCACACGUGGAGGCACGGAGCCGCUUGGCACGGCUGACGCGUCGGCGGUCGGGAUGACGGCUCGCAGUAGUCCGCUUGCGCCGGCGUCAUGGCGGGGCCCACGCAGUUCACCGCCCUGCUCCUCACGCCGCCUCCGCAGGUGGCGUUGCACUGCAAGGGAACAGAAGGAGAGUGAAGACGGGACGGGACGGGCUGACAAAGCGGGGGCACUGUUGGGCUUUCCAACCGCCUUGAGUUUAUCCAGCUGGACCCGUUUAAGGAUGCAACAUGUGUUCCUGUUAAAAAAAGAUCACCACCAGCGAUGAUUUAAAAGAGCAUUUAUGUGGGCCCCUAAACAUGCAAUAAAAAAAAAGCAAUUACUUUUC